GGCCUAAUGGAGAUAAGCAGAAAACUCUCUGCUCCAUCAGUAAAAACUACAUUAUACCUGCUAACCAGAAGAAGAUUUUCUAUAUAUGGUUGCUCAGCCCAGGCAGAAGCAGGCAUGCCAGUAUUUGCCAUUUGUGCCUUGAAGCUUAUAGGCAGUCAGCUAAGCAUCGAGCAUUUACCAACAUUAACCUGUUGAAUGAACACUACAAUUACACUGAACAAGUUAAGAGAGAGGUUAGAGUUUGUUGAAGUUUUUAUAACCUCGCAUGUUGUCUGUGGUAUGAGUGACUGGGAAGGACGUUUCUGGGCUAGGGAGACAGUCUA
rnacentral:lncRNA from 1 species